UCUUCUCUUCUCUAAAUCUCUGUGUUAGGGCAUGGUGGCGGUGUCCGGCAGCCUGUCUGUCCUCCUCGACUCCAUCCUGUGUGCUCUGGGCCCGCUGACCUGUCUCACUGCUCAGAUACCGCAACUCAACGGCUGCCCUCGAAACGUCCUGUCUAAUACGUUGGACAACAUCGCCUACAUCAUGCCGGGGCUUUGAGUGAAGGAUAAUCGAAAUUUGACGUCAGAAAUCCUCCGAUAUGACCCUCUGAUUUUAAUUUAAACAACUCUUAUCUUAGCCGCUGAAAAGCCGGAUAUUUUUUAGCGUCAACGUGUUUUUAAAGUGUAUUUUUGUAAACCUUGUUCUCUUAAUUUUCGAUUUAUUUUUUUAAAACAUUUUACUGAGCAUGUUGAUUUCCGAGCUUAGUUUUAAUGUUACUGUACAGCAGUGGUUCUCAAAGUAAAAAAAAAAAAUU